UACAUUUGUGUGUGGAUGUGUGUGUAAAUGUAUGUGCAUCCCACAGCACAUGUG
ensembl:miRNA Mir669n microRNA 669n